UACGUAGGGGGCUAGCGUUGUCCGGAUUUAUUGGGCGUAAAGAGCGUGUAGGCGGCCAGGCAGGUCUGCUGUGAAAACUCGAGGCUCAACCUCGAGACGUCGGCGGAAACCAUCUGGCUAGAGUCCGGAAGAGGAGAGUGGAAUUCCUGGUGUAGCGGUGAAAUGCGCAGAUAUCAGGAAGAACACCUAUGGCGAAGGCAGCUCUCUGGGACGGUACUGACGCUGAGACGCGAAAGCGUGGGGAGCGAACAGG
rnacentral:rRNA from 1 species